ensembl:lncRNA
AUGGGGCCAGCCCCAACGUGGCUCUCAACCCCAACACAGCCCCCAGCCCCCCCUGCCUGGCACCCCCAGCCCCCCCCAAGUCUCCCCAAUCCCCCCCCAGCCCGGUGGGCGCCACGGGAGAGGGGCAGGGCAGGGCAGAGCCGGGGGGGGGGGAGCGGCACCAACCUGCACGAGCAGCUCCGCGGGCCUCGCCUGUAUCCGGCCGGGGCGCAGCAGCCAAGCAGGAGCUCUGGGCAGGCUUCUGUCCCCUUUUUCUCCUCGGCUCUUUACGCAAAGCGCCCGACACCAGCACCUCGGCUCCCCCCCGCUGCCGGGGGAGCCAAACCUCCAGCGUCAGGCCUCGGCGUUCGCUGCUCGAGCUGGUGGGCUUGCCAGAAGCCCCCCGCGAGUCCUUUUGUUGGCGUUUCCUUCCCACAACUCUGUCACCCAAACCUUCUCUCUCUUUUUUUCCUAUUUCACCCUGAAAUAACUUACGGACACAGGGGGCGGAGGAGGAGGAGGAGGAAAGUCCAGGCCCAGCCUCGGGUCCCGGGGCCGCUCCGUUCCCAGCCCGCGGCCGUUCGGGGCGACCCCGCUCCCUUCUCCCAGCGGCUCCCAAGCGGGGGGGCGGCCGCUCAGAGCGCCCCAAAGCCCUGCCCGGUCCCUACCGCGCCCCCAGGAGCUGCCCCAGGUCACGGCACCAGGCACAGGGCUCCUGCAGCGGGCCAGGCCAGCCCUCAGCCCAUCCCUUCCCCCCCUCAGGGUCUCAGCUCCGUGCUCCUCACCCCUCGGCUCCCCGGGGCUCGCUCCCCCCCGGCAGGGCCCCCCCGGGCACCGAGGGGCCGCUGGGCCCCGCUCAGCCCCGGCCCCGCUCCCCUCCUUUUCCCGCAGCCGCCCCGAGGCCUCGGCCCCGCCCGGGGGCUCCCCGCGGCCUCCCCCGGGCCCCGCUCGAGAACCGGCGGGGGGGGAACCCCGGAGCCAAGGCCUGGCUGGGGGAGGGGGUGCGGGGCUGACACCGAGGCCGGGGAGCUCCGAGGGGGGGGGGGGCGGCCCCGCGGGCUGAGCGCUGCGGCCCCCCCGGGGCCUCCCCACGGCCUCCCCGCCCGAGGCCUCGCGGGCCGGGCCGGGCCGGGGCCUGUCAGGCGCCGCCGCUGCCGCCGCCGGGCCGGGCCCUCACCGCAGGCGCCGCCGCGGCUCGCCUUAGGCCGCCGCCGCCGCCGCCAUUCCCGCCCGCUCGGCCCCGCUGCGCUCCCCCCGGGCCGCCGCUGCCCGGGCCCAGGCGCCGCCGCCGCCGCCUCCCGUCAGGGCCGGGCCAGGCUCGGCGCCGCCAUGUUGGCUCCGUCCGCUCCGCUCCCCGCUCGCGGGCGGCUCUCGCGGCGCGAUGCCACAUCCGGCCCCACCCCCCCGAGGCCCCGCCCACAUCCGGGCCCCGCGCACCUCGCCGGCUUCACGCCCGUUGGGAAAGCUGGGGGAGAGGAGCCAUGUUGGAUAAGGGCAGGAGGGCGGGGACUUCCGGGGAGGGGGGCGCCGGCUUCAGCGCCCUUCCGGAGCGUUGCGGCGUGGCCGCCAUAUUGGGUGUGGGCAGGCUGGCAAGGCGGCGGCCCGCCCGCCCGGUUGGGCGCGCGCCGCCGCCGCCAUCUUGGGAGGGGGCGGGCGGGGUUCGCCGGGCGGCUUCGCGCCCAUUGCGGGCCACGGGGGGCGCCGCCAUCUUGA